GAUGAACGCUGGCGGCGUGCCUAAUACAUGCAAGUCGAGCGAACAGACGAGGAGCUUGCUCCUCUGACGUUAGCGGCGGACGGGUGAGUAACACGUGGAUAACCUACCUAUAAGACUGGGAUAACUUCGGGAAACCGGAGCUAAUACCGGAUAAUAUAUUGAACCGCAUGGUUCAAUAGUGAAAGACGGUUUUGCUGUCACUUAUAGAUGGAUCCGCGCCGCAUUAGCUGGUUGGUAAGGUAACGGCUUACCAAGGCAACGAGGCGUAGCCGACCUGAGAGGGGGGUCGCCCACCCUGGAACUGGGACGCGGUCCAGACUCCUGCGAGAGGCACCAGUAGGGAAUCUUCCGCAACGGGCGAGAGCCUUGCGGAGCGGCGCCACGUGAGAGAUGACGGUCUUCGGAUCGUAAAACUCUGUUACUGGGUAAGAACAACUGUGUAAGUAACUAUGCACGUCUUGACGGUACCUAAUCAGAAAGCCACGGCUAACUACGUG
rnacentral:rRNA from 1 species